rnacentral:rRNA from 1 species
AAUUCUAGAGCUAAUACAUGCAUUUAAAGAGAAACCGGUAAAAUGGGUUCUCUGCUUUUAUUAGAUUUAAACCAAUGGGGAGCGUUUCGGCGUUCUUACAUUUAAACUGGUUGAACUCUGGAUAAUUUGUUGAUCGCAUGGUCUCGUACCGGCGACGGAUCUUUCAAAUGUCUGCCCUAUCAACUAUUGAAGGUAAUGUCUUGGAUUACCUUGGUUGCAACGGGUAACGGGGAAUCAGG